UACGUAGGGCGCAAGCGUUGUUCGGAAUUAUUGGGCGUAAAGGGAGUGUAGGCGGCUUGUUAAGUCUUCUGUGAAAUCUACGGGCUCAGCCUGUAACGUGCAGAGGAGACUGGCGAGCUUGAGUGUCGGAGAGGAUAGGGGAAUACCCGGUGUAGAGGUGAAAUUCGUAGAGAUCGGGUGGAACACCAGUGGCGAAGGCGCCUAUCUGGCUGACAACUGACGCUGAGACUCGAAAGCAUGGGGAGCAAACAGG
rnacentral:rRNA from 1 species